UACGUAGGGUGCAAGCGUUGUCCGGAAUUAUUGGGCGUAAAGAGCUCGUAGGCGGUCUGUCGCGUCUGCUGUGAAAACUCGGGGCUUAACCCCGGGCCUGCAGUGGGUACGGGCAGACUAGAGUGCGGAAGGGGCAACUGGAAUUCUUGGUGUAGCGGUGAAAUGCGUAGAUAUCAAGAGGAACACCUGCGGCGAAGGCGGGUUGCUGGGCCGACACUGACGCUGAUGCGCGAAAGCCAGGGGAGCGAACGGG
rnacentral:rRNA from 1 species